AAAAAACUGAUUUGGAGAAACUCUGCAGUGAUGUUCAGAAGCAGAAAUCACAUAAAGCAGCUGAGAACUGAACUUUAACAGGCCGUUAUUUUCCAAAGAUGUUUAUUUUAGAUGGCUUAAUGUAACCAGAGAUUCUUCCA